AGCCUUUUCUGGCCCCAUUGUCCCGAUUAUGUUCGCAUAUUUGAUUCACUGGAAUUUGGGUAACAGUUGUGUUCUUUUCAUCUUCCCAUACUUUCAGAAAUGCCUCUUCUUUAACUUCUCUCCUUCUAUCACCCUUUUUCACUAACGACUCAUCCCCAAAGACGAUUAGGGGACACAAUUACUCUACGCCACCCAAGGGUUGCAUUAUAAAGUUUUCAUUAUAAGGUGCUAAAGUGUGAAGAAGAACCCAAAAGGCAUAUGCGGAGAAUCAAAGUUGAGACUUGUAUAUGUUUCUUUUUUCCCAAGAAUCAUGGACUUGCUCUGUAAAGUUUUGCUUCUAAGGUUUGCUUUACUUUGCAGUUGAUUAUUUCCUGGUUGUAGGUGUUGGUUAUUUUAUUGUUUUUAUUGAAGUGAAAGAAGAAGUAGCAAUGUAUGGAACACAUAAGGGGAAGAGACGCGAUUAAGCGAUUUUUCGAAUAACAAAUGAAUAAAUGAAGGGGAAAAGGGCCUCUUCUUCAACUGCUAUUUCUAAAUUUAGUUAUUUUGUUGAAACACUUCACUUAUUGUUAUCCAUUGAAUAAUUUUUUAUUCCCUAUUGUCUUCUGAUUAUUUAUAGCUUUGUAGCAGAGAAGUGGAGGAGUGCAGAAUCAGGGCCUACAGAGAUCACUCUUGAAACUUCUAAUGGUUUACACUUGAGGUACUGUAUUCUUCUACUUCUUUGUUUUUAUUAUUGUGUAUUCAGGGUUAGUACCGAGGGAAAACUUGAAUACCGAGGGAAAACUUGAAAUUCCUACCCUAAAAGUAGAUGCAUUAUAAGAUGCUUCAACAUUCCACUGCAUCCCUGAUGCCCUGAGAUUUUUCCAGCUUAGUCGCGGAAUUGAAAGAAACAUAUACCUCAUAUCUGUUGCCACAGGACAAUUCAAAAGAAAAGAUGAUUUACUUAUCUGCUACCAGUUGAAAUACGCUAAGAUAACAGAUAAAGAGCAAGUCAAAUAGUGUUCAUGUAAGUUUUUCUUUCUAAAAUUGGGCUCAUCUCCCAUUGUGGGUGGUUGGUGGUAGUAUAUCAUUAUUUAGGCAUAGUCAUAAAAUUCCCUUAGUACUUUUUCCUUCAAAUUGUACUUAAUGUUGGCUUCUCUUUGCUGCAGAUUUUAUAGCUCAAAUAUGAUUCAUGUUUUCCUUUCUGUUGGCACAUGAUGCACAUGCUUUUGUAUUACCUUUUGGCUCAAUUGAUUGAAACUCUUGAUUUUCAGGUUGUUAGUGACUUAUUUUGUUGUGGAAAACCUGUUUGUAAUGAGGAAAAAAAUACGAACUUUGAGAGUAGAUGCAUCACAAGUAUGUACCAAAAACUUUCCGUGAGUUCAUGGAGCUUGCUUCGAUAUGGUAUUAUGAUAAUGUCAAAUUUCACAUAGUCAUCAAGGUUUCGUUUUCUUUAUCAUUUUUUUGUUGUUAAUUUUAGAUGACAUCGGGUUCUGAUCUUAUUGUAUACCACUAUUCUUUUUUGUUUUAUUGAUUUGGAUGUAGGAUAUUAUUGUUUGUGUUGGAAUUUGCUUAUGGUAUUUAUAGGCCUCAAUGGCUUUUUGUGAUUACUAUUUAUGGCAUUUAAAGGUUUAUAGAGCUGGAAAAUUUAUUUAUGGUAUUUAUAGGCCUAAAUGGCUUUGUGACUGCUUUAUAACACAUCAGUUAAGAAUAUCGGUGAAAGUUGAUGCCUUUGGUACUAAGUUUCCUAGCAAUUCAUGGCCUUUGAAUGCUCUAACUUCGCUAGAGUUUGUUAUUUUAAAUUUUUUUCUAUUAUAGGCCUUCAAUGAAAGGUGUAAUAGUUGUUGGGAACAAGUAGCUGCCAAAGAUUACAUUACCAAAAAACUUUGUUG